rnacentral:rRNA from 1 species
CCUACGGGUCGCAGCAGUAGGGAAUCUUCGGCAAUGGACGAAAGUCUGACCGAGCAACGCCGCGUGAGUGAAGAAGGCUUUCGGAUCGUAAAACUCUAUUGUUAGAGAAGAACAAGUAGGAGAGUAACUGCUCUUACCUUGACGGUAUCUAACCAGAAAGCCACGGCUAACUACGUGCCAGCAGCCGCGGUAAUACGUAGGUGGCAAGCGUUGUCCGGAUUUAUUGGGCGUAAAGCGAGCGCAGGCGGUCUUUUAGGUCUGAUGUGAAAGCCCUCGGCUCAACCGAGGAAGGUCAUUGGGAACUGGAGGACUUGAGUGCAGAAGAGGAGAGUGGAAUUCCACGUGUAGCGGUGAAAUGCGUAGAUAUAUGGAGGAACACCAGUGGCGAAGGCGACUCUCUGGUCUGUAACUGACGCUGAGGCUCGAAAGCGUGGGGAGCAAACAGGAUUAGAUACCCGGGUAGUC